rnacentral:rRNA from 1 species
AUUGAACGCUGGCGGCAUGCCUUACACAUGCAAGUCGAACGGUAACAGGUCUUCGGAUGCUGACGAGUGGCGAACGGGUGAGUAAUACAUCGGAACGUGCCUAGUAGUGGGGAUAACUACUCGAAAGAGUGGCUAAUACCGCAUGAGAUCUACGGAUGAAAGCAGGGGAUCGCAAGACCUUGUGCUACUAGAGCGGCCGAUGGCAGAUUAGGUAGUUGGUGGGAUAAAAGCUUACCAAGCCGACGAUCUGUAGCUGGUCUGAGGGGACGAUCAGCCACACUGGGACUGAGACACGGCCCAGACUCCUACGAGAGGCAGCAGUGGGGAAUUUUGGACAAUGGGCGCAAGCCUGAUCCAGCAAUGCCGCGUGCAGGAUGAAGGCCUUCGGGUUGUAAACUGCUUUUGUACGGAACGAAAAGCCCCGGGUUAAUACCCUGGGGUCAUGACGGUACCGUAAGAAUAAGCACCGGCUAACUACGUGCCAGCCGCCGCCGUAA